UACGAAGGGGGCUAGCGUUGUUCGGAAUUACUGGGCGUAAAGCGCACGUAGGCGGACUAUUAAGUCAGGGGUGAAAUCCCGGGGCUCAACCCCGGAACUGCCUUUGAUACUGGUAGUCUCGAGUCCGGAAGAGGUGAGUGGAAUUCCGAGUGUAGAGGUGAAAUUCGUAGAUAUUCGGAAGAACACCAGUGGCGAAGGCGGCUCACUGGACCGGUAUUGACGCUGAGGUGCGAAAGCGUGGGGAGCAAACAGG
rnacentral:rRNA from 1 species